AACAAAAUUGUACUUCAAAAAACUGCCAAAAUUUUACUUAGGAAUAGUACAGGGUGACUCAUAGUAAAAAAUUAUUUAAUGGUGUGUUUUAGUUUGAAAAAACUUUUGAUUGUACCAUACACAUUUGGGAUAGAAUAUUAAAUUCUCUUGUUGAAAUGUUGUAGCAUACCUGAAGUACCUAGUAUAUUUUAUAUUAUUAUAGUAAACGGUGCUAAACUAAAAAAUAUGUCGUGACUGAAAUUAAUAGUAAUAUGCGAAAAAUCUAACCGGAAAGACCACACAAAACACUAAAAAGUACAGCCACAUUAAAGUGGAUAUUCGUUGUACCACUAAAGUUCGAAAAUAUAUUGAAAUAAUAAGAACAUUUGAAAAAAGAUAUGUUUUACCUAGACGAAAUAAAUGUUUUCACUAAUUUAAAUUUCGUGUGCUAUAAGUGCGAUAUUAACUUACCAUUUAAAAAUCCUUGUGUAAUUCUGCAUCGCUUCGUCACGUUUGCUGUGUUCUUUGGUUACAAAUUUGAAAAAGUUCGCUUAUUUGUAAAUAUUUAAAAAGAAAAAAUGAGAAUCUACACGAUAUACAUACUUUUUGAGAGAAGAGAGAGACAAAUUUUAAUUCAAAUUUAUUUUAAUUUUUAAUUUAAACAAAAAGAAUGGAAAAGUUAUCAAUGACAUAAAUUUGCAGUAACAAAUAAACUAAUUAUUAGAAUUGUGUUUUCUCCUUUCUUCAAUUAAGAAUAGGCAAUGCAUGGUACCGUUUGGUGUUAGCGCUUUACUGAAUACAUUUGUAACAAAAUUGACGAGAACAAAUGACAAUACUACGAUUAAGAACAGGAAAUAAUAAUUUAGUAUGAAUUCUUCAAAAACAUUUGAAUUCGCUAGUUGUACCAAAAGGAAUAUAUAGAGUCCCAGAAACAAAUAAAACGAAAUAUUGAAGAAUUCUAGCAAAGUUGCGAAUAUCAAUUAGCAUUCUUUAAGAAACACUUCUAAAUAUCAAAAGGAUAAUAAUAUGCUGACUUCCUGCGACGUUUACAAACUGAACUAUCCGAAACUGACAGAGUGGAACCGAUCCUACGGAUUUUUGCCUUUCUUUCAAUGGAAACUCACAACUCAAAAGGAUUUUUUUUUGUUCUGCGAAAAUGGACUUCCCAGCGAAUUUUCGCAGUUAUAUUCGAAGAAUUGGAAAAGAUUACCAAGAUAAAAAUGACAGUCUUUUCCCUGAAAUUUAACCACGACCUCCAAACACAGCCGUCUUCGUGACUUUUUGAAGAAAUCAUCACAGGAAUGGAAGGAUCAAAACGCUCCAUCAGUCUAUACCAGCAGCAAAUCAAACAGAAUUAAGUCCUGACCAGUCUGGAAAAAGGCCCAAACAAAAUGGAACAAAAAAAUACUGAGCCUAUAAUAAAAUUUGAUUACCAUAUUCAUAUUCUUAAAACAUAUGAUAUUGUUAUAAAUUAUACAAAUAAUGUUAAAAAUAAAUAAAUUUAUAAAUUU